GGGCUUUCAGUUCCCCUGGUUUGCUUCCCACUAGUUACCAUUAGGACAGAGCUGCCAAAAAAAUUCUUUUUUCUGUUGAUGAGGUUUUCCAGUGUGGUCAAAUGGAAUUUAUGUAUUCUUUAUCUGUAGAUUUACAUAAUAGAAAUCUGCGGGCAUUAUAAGAAAAGACAGGGGCAGAAAGGUUUUUAUUCCCCAUUGGAGUCACCCAGAGCCCAGUCAUGGAGUAGCCUUAGAAGGAAUAUUCUUACUUCAGAGCUCAGAUGGAUGAGAGCCAAGCGCUGUGAUGGAGCACAUCAAGAGAUGCUGUGGCUCAAGCCGACUCCAAAGCCACCAAUACUUAGAAGGACUGCUCAGAAAAAGGCUUGUGCAGAACUCCUCAUGAAGUACCGAGAAACAAGUUAAACUGGGGUUCAGCAGAGCUUACCAUCUCGAGACAUCCCCACAGCAAGGCAUUUCUGUAAUCGACAGUGCUGGCAGCGGUUUCUACUGGUUCGGUCAAUCAAACAGUUCUUCUGACGAGGACAGGAGUACGUAGCAUUGCUUUGCUGACUCCUUCUGAAAAAGCCCUGCGAUUGCAUUGCAAAAUACAAGUCAAGAAGCUGUUAACUAAUGGAGAGAAUAAAAACUCUGAGAGGAAAUCACCGGCCUUCUCCAACACCAUUGACGGGGCAGUAGUGAUAAAGCUCAUCUGAACAGCUACAUGACUCCAGUCAGGACAGAGCACUGUACAGCCAGAUAAAGCAAGGAGCAUCUUUAUCCCCAAUUCUGACAUUUAAGUAGAAACGCACUGAGCCUCAACACAGGAAAACAUAUCAUCAGUUCACUGGAGACAACACUUUUCAGACACCUAAUGAGAACGUCUGACUGCUAUCUUAGGUGACUGGUAUGCACUGCCAAGUAUUACAUCCUGCUCUUAAGACCCAAGAAACCAGUCAGUAGCCCUCCGA